CAGGAAAAACGGAAUCUUUUAUAGCAAGUUUUAGUAAAUGUGAACCUGUUCACAAGGUGUUGGAUUUGAGAUAUUGAAGGAUGGAGCAGUUUUUGAUAUGUUUAGUUUCUUAGAUGCUCGACAUCUAUGAUAAAGCAAAUUGGGGACAAAAACACGUUGGUUUACGUGCGCUCUAAGUUCGUGGAGGAAACGUCAAGAUUAAUUGCCUGUGGAUCCUCGAUUCUUCUGCAGCGUUCAGUGAAGAAAAUAAUAGUAAGAAUAACGCGAGAUGUGGACAACCCAUUUUGAUGCCGCUCGACGGCACCUUAUCACCAACCACAUCAUCUGCGAGAUGUGGACAAAUCCAUGCUUGGAUAGUGUUUUCCUAAUUGCACGUGGAUAGGAUCCUUGUAGGGGUUCGUGAGGUUGGUCAUAAGGAUUGGAUUGACCUCAACGGUAAUCUCUUGUUUGAUUCUCAAGUAGGAAGAGCCACAAAACAGGACUUGGUUGGAUCAACCCUAUCCCUCUCAAUUGACAAUGACAAUCAGAAUCAUCAUUAACAACUGAAAAGUGGAGUCAGCCAGAAGUUUUGAUCCAAUCAAGGAGUUCAUUUUACUUCUUUGCUCGGUGUUGCAAGAGGCUCUCUGAUCUCCUCAGAUACCUGAUCAUAUCUUAGAAAAUAAUGUUGAAGUGGAGAUAGACGGGACCAUAGACAUUGUCUUGUUCAGCUAAUGCAUGUGGAGUAGCGAGUACCAAACAAGCCAAAUUUCCUCGGAAAUGAACUCCCAAGUGACUGAAUACCCCUUUUCCUCUCUUUUUUGUUUUCUGUGUAUUUUUCACUGUCAGUUUUGGGCCAAAUAAUUUUGUUACACAAUUGAUCAUUUUCAUAGUGUCUAAUAUGGGAUAUGAAGAUGAUUAAUAU